rnacentral:misc_RNA from 1 species
GUGUGUGUGUGUGUGUGUGUAAAUCAACUAUGCCGGCAUAUAUUAUAUCUCUAGAACAUCUGUCUAGGAAAAAGGAAAUGACUUGUGUAUGAACCCAAUAGAAAAAUCUCAUCUUCAUGCUAUCACUGUUAUGUUGACAUUGGAUUAUUAUUAUUUUUCAAGUGUGUUUGAAGUGUGAAUGGAACCUUUUAAAUUCUCUGAUUUCAUGCAGAAUGCAGCCUUACCCCUGCUUUGCAGAAAAGUUGUUUCCGUGUGUGUGUGUGUGUGUGU